rnacentral:rRNA from 1 species
UAAUUAAGUUAAAUUAUUUUUCCCGAGAAAAAAAGAUCUAAUUUUUAUUGUAUUUAGUAAGUAUACUAUUAUGUGGCAAAAUAAUUUAAAAAUAAAAAUUAGGAGUGAAAGGCUUACAAUUUUUUUGAUAUCUGGAUAAAAUUUAAAUGUAUUAAGUACAUUAUACAGCUAAAAAGUGAUAAGAUUUUUUAGACUUAGCAUUUUUAAUAAUUAAGAUUAAAGGGUUAAAACUUUUUUUAAUUAUUUGAUAAUAUAAUUAUUUUUAUUUUAGAUCUAUUAAAUAAAUUUUUGUUUAAAAAAACCAUACAAUUUAUAUUAAUAAUGUUUAAAUAAGUAUAAAUUUUUAAAUGAAAAUCAGGAACUCGGCAAAUUAAACUUCAACUGUUUAACAAAAACAUAGCUAAAAGAAAUUAUUUUUAGUUUUACCUGCCCAGUGAAAAAUUUUAACGGCCGCAGUACAUUGACUGUGCUAAGGUAGCAUAAUAAAUUGGCUUUUAAUUGAAGUCGGGAAUGAAAGGGUGUUUGGAGUUAUUCUGUCUUAUUUUUAUUUUUUAAAAGUUACUAAUGAGGUGAAAAUUCCUCAAUGUUACUUGAUAGACGAGAAGACCCUAAGAAUUAUUACAACUAUUAAAGUAAAUUAAUAAAAGUUUUUGUUGGGGCAACAGCUUUGAAUAACCAAAGUUAAAAUUUACUAUAAAAAGACUAUAUUAAAAAUGGAUUUAAUUACCUUAGGGAUAACAGCAUAAUUAUAUUUUAGAUUGUGACCUCGAUGUUGGAUUAAGGGCUUUAACUAUUAGCCAUAAUUAAAGAUAGUUCUGUUCGAACUGUUUACCUUA